AACGAACGCUGGCGGCAUGCCUAACACAUGCAAGUCGAACGCCCCGCAAGGGGAGUGGCGAACGGGUGAGUAACGCGUGGGAACCUACCCAGCAGUUGGGGAUAACCGCGGGAAACUGCGGCUAAUACCGAAUACGUCCUAAGGGAGAAAGAUUUAUCGCUGUUGGAGGGGCCCGCGUCGGAUUAGCUAGUUGGUGAGGUAACGGCUCACCAAGGCGACGAUCCGUAGCUGGUCUGAGAGGAUGAUCAGCCACACUGGGACUUAGACACGGCCCAGACUCCUACGGGAGGCAGCAGUGGGGAAUAUUGGACAAUGGGGGCAACCCUGAUCCAGCAAUGCCGCGUGAGUGAUGAAGGCCUUAGGGUUGUAAAGCUCUUUUACCGGGGACGAUGAUGACGGUACCCGGAGAAUAAGCCCCGGCUAACUUCGUGCCAGCAGCCGCGGUAAAAC
rnacentral:rRNA from 1 species